AUCGUGAGACUAUUCCAUCUCAGCCCACAAAAUGGCACUUCGUCUCAUGCCUCCCUUUCCAUCUUUCACCGGUCGAAAUCUGGCCAUCGGAAAAUCGCAGCCGCUGGUUAAACUAAAAAUCUCCUGCUCUUAUCAUUCCAACAAGUGCAAGAAGGAGUAGACGAGCGUGAUGAUAGUGCCGACAGGUGUAGGUACCACCAUCGGUGGAUUCGCCGGCGACGCUUAGCCAGUUGCUCGUGCACUCGCCUCCGUCGUUGAUUGCCUCAUUUCGCACCCUAACGUUAUGCUCUUGAUCGAUUUGCAGAAGGCUUAUGGGCAUUGCAGCCAGUUCACCAAAAUAGAGUGGGGUUGGUUCUUGAUGCUGCAAUAGAGGGGGAGCUUCGACUUCGCCAUUUGCAAGUGGCUGAUGCGACAAGAGCUUCCCUUGGAUUGCCUGUUUUGGAAUAUAUUGUCACUGACACUCCUUUACUGGUAUGCGUCCUUAUCAGCUAUCAGAUUAAAGACUAAUGGAGCCAAAUAUCAACAUACUGCUAAUUGCCCAUAUCUUAAGUGGAGCUAAAGUAAAAGAUGCAUGUUCCAGACAGAUUACAUAACAUGUUUCAUGUGCUGCAGACCUUUCCCUUUGCAAGACAUGUUUUAUGUGCUGCAGGCCUUUCUCUUUGAUGACUAACUGCACUUCUUGUGAGAUGCUUAUUGAUGACAUGGGCAUGAUGCAUUAGACCAAGGGUCAUACACUUGGUGAUUGAUGAGUCAACAUUAUUUGUAUUGUCUAAUUAUGAUCUCUCUUCAUGAGAACUGAUGGACUUUUACAAAGUUUGUAGCAAUGAAAACAUUGCCCCUGCAAUUCAGUAACUUUGCUUUUCUCUUC